rnacentral:rRNA from 1 species
AUUGAACGCUGGCGGCAGGCCUAACACAUGCAAGUCGAACGGUAGCACAGAGAGCUUGCUCUCGGGUGACGAGUGGCGGACGGGUGAGUAACGUCUGGGAAACUGCCCGAUGGAGGGGGAUAACUACUGGAAACGGUAGCUAAUACCGCAUAACGUCGCAAGACCAAAGUGGGGGACCUUCGGGCCUCACACCAUCGGAUGUGCCCGGAUGGGAUUAGCUAGUAGGUGGGGUAAUGGCUCACCUAGGCGACGAUCCCUAGCUGGUCUGAGAGGAUGACCAGCCACACUGGACCUGAGCCACGGUCCAGACUCCUACGGGAGGCAGCAGUGGGGAAGAUUGCACAAUGGGCGCAAGCCUGAUGCAGCCAUGCCGCGUGUAUGAAGAAGGCCUUCGGGUUGUAAAGUACUUUCAGCGGGGAGGAAGGCGGUGAAGUUAAUAGCUUCACCGAUUGACGUUACCCGCAGAAGAAGCACCGGCUAACUCCGUGCCAGCCGCCGCCGUAA